AUACGUAGGGUGCGAGCGUUGUCCGGAAUUACUGGGCGUAAAGAGCUCGUAGGUGGUUUGUCGCGUCGUCUGUGAAAUUCCGGGGCUUAACUCCGGGCGUGCAGGCGAUACGGGCAUAACUUGAGUACUGUAGGGGAGACUGGAAUUCCUGGGGUAGCGGUGAAAUGCGCAGAUAUCAGGAGGAACACCGGUGGCGAAGGGGGGUCUCUGGGCAGUAACUGACGCUGAGGAGCGAAAGCAUGGGUAGCGAACAGGAUUAGAUACCCUGGUAGUCCAUGCCGUAAACGGUGGGCGCUAGGUGUAGGGGUCUUCCACGACUUCUGUGCCGUAGCUAACGCAUUAAGCGCCCCGCCUGGGGAGUACGGCCGCAAGGCUAAAACUCAAAUGAAUUGACGGGG
rnacentral:rRNA from 1 species